rnacentral:rRNA from 1 species
CGCCUCCUACGGGGGGCAGCAGUGGGGAAUAUUGCGCAAUGGGCGAAAGCCUGACGCAGCGACGCCGCGUGAGGGAUGAAGGUCUUCGGAUCGUAAACCUCUGUCAGCAGGGAAGAACGGUCACUGUGCUAAUCAGCAGUGAUUUGACGGUACCUGCAAAGGAAGCACCGGCUAACUCCGUGCCAGCAGCCGCGGUAAUACGGAGGGUGCGAGCGUUAAUCGGAAUUACUGGGCGUAAAGCGCUCGUAGGCGGUAUGUCACGUCAAGGGUGAAAUCCCCGCGCCCACCGUGG